rnacentral:rRNA from 1 species
UACGGGGGGAGCAAGCGUUGUUCGGAUUUACUGGGCGUAAAGGGCGCGUAGGCGGUCAGCACAAGUCAGUUGUGAAAUCUCCGGGCUUAACUCGGAAAGGUCAACUGAUACUGUGCGACUAGAGUGCGGAAGGGGCAACUGGAAUUCUCGGUGUAGCGGUGGAAUGCGCAGAUAUCAGGAGGAACACCGGUGGCGAAGGCGGGUCUCUGGGUAGUAACUAACGCUGAGGAGCGAAAGCGUGGGGAGCGAACAGG